rnacentral:rRNA from 1 species
GUUGACCUCGGAUCAGGUAGGGAUACCCGCUGAACUUAAGCAUAUCAAUAAGCGGAGGAAAAGAAACCAACAGGGAUUGCUCUAGUAACGGCGAGUGAAGCAGCAAUAGCUCAAAUUUGAAAUCUGGCGUCUUCGGCGUCCGAGUUGUAAUUUGUAGAGGAUGCUUCUGAGUAACCACCGACCUAAGUUCCUUGGAACAGGACGUCAUAGAGGGUGAGAAUCCCGUAUGCGGUCGGAAAGGUGCUCUACACGUAGCUCCUUCGACGAGUCGAGUUGUUUGGGAAUGCAGCUCUAAAUGGGAGGUAAAUUUCUUCUAAAGCUAAAUAUUGGCCAGAGACCGAUAGCGCACAAGUAGAGUGAUCGAAAGAUGAAAAGCACUUUGGAAAGAGAGUUAAAAAGCACGUGAAAUUGUUAAAAGGGAAGGGAUUGCAACCAGACUUGCUCGCGGUGUUCCGCCGGUCUUCUGACCGGUCUACUCGCCGCGUUGCAGGCCAGCAUCGUCUGGUGCCGCUGGAUAAGACUUGAGGAAUGUAGCUCCCUCGGGAGUGUUAUAGCCUCUUGUGAUGCAGCGAGCGCCGGGCGAGGUCCGCGCUUCGGCUAGGAUGCUGGCGUAAUGGUCGUAAUCCGCCCGUCUUGAAACACGGACCAAGGAGUCUAACAUCUAUGCGAGUGUUCGGGUGUCAAACCCCUACGCGUAAUGAAAGUGAACGGAGGUGAGAACCGCAAGGUGCAUCAUCGACCGAUCCUGAUGUCUUCGGAUGGAUUUGAGUAAGAGCAUAGCUGUUGGGACCCGAAAGAUGGUGAACUAUGCCUGAAUAGGGUGAAGCCAGAGGAAACUCUGGUGGAGGCUCGCAGCGGUUCUGACGUGCAAAUCGAUCGUCAAAUUUGGGUAUAGGGGCGAAAGACUAAUCGAACCAUCUAGUAGCUGGUUCCUGCCGAAG